GGCGGCUUAGCUCAGGUGGUAGAGCAGGGGACUCAUAAGCCCCGUGUCGUAGGUUCGAGUCCUACAGCCGCUACC
rnacentral:tRNA from 2 species